UACGUAGGGGGCAAGCGUUGUCCGGAAUCAUUGGGCGUAAAGAGCGUGUAGGCGGCCCGGUAAGUCGGUUGUGAAAGUCAGGGGCUCAACCCUUGAAUGCCGACCGAUACUGUCGGGCUAGAGUCCGGAAGAGGCGAGUGGAAUUCCUGGUGUAGCGGUGAAAUGCGCAGAUAUCAGGAGGAACACCUACGGCGAAGGCAGCUCGCUGGGACGGUACUGACGCUGAGACGCGAAAGCGUGGGGAGCAAACAGG
rnacentral:rRNA from 2 species